CAAAUAUGUCAAGAGACUAGUGAACAUCUGUCAACUUUAAACUUCUUUAAAUUAUUAGGUAUCAUUAUACAAUAGCUUGCAGAGUAACAUCACUUGCGGACACGGAUUCGGAAGAAGCGCUGCGACGCCAGAUUCCAUAAAUUUGACGUUUAUGAUUCCUUCUUCGGAUCAGAAUGAUUGUAUUCCUGAAUUAAUUUAUAUUUAUAUAACACUGAACUGAAAAGAAAUAAGUAAAGAAGAA